UGAAGGACAUUACUUCUUGGGAUGUUUGAGUCUCAACUUGUUUGGCUGAUGCGGUUGAUGUGGUACUUUGUGAGGUUUGACUGUUGGUGUUGGUAGCAGCAUUGUUGGUAGUAGUUCCAGUGGGUGUACUCGGUGUAGUGGGUGUACUCGGUGUAGUAGGUGUACGUGUAGUGGGUGAGGUGGGUGUACUGGGUGUAGGUGUAGUGGGUGUGGUGGGUGUACUGGGUGUAGGUGUUGUGGGUGUAUUGGGUGUAGGUGUAGUGGAUGUUCUCGGUGUACUGGGUGUAGGUGUAGUGGGUGUUGUGGGUGUACUGGGUGUAGGUGUAGUGGGUGUACUCGGUGUAGGUGUAGUGGGUGUUGUGGGUGUAGGUGUAGUGGGUGUACUGGGUGUAGGUGUUGUGGGUGUUGUGGGUGUUGUUGGUGUUGUGGGUGUUGUGGGUGUUGAGGGUGUUGUGGGUGUUGUGGGUGUUGAGGGUGUUGUGGGUGUUGUGGGUGUUGCGGGUGUUGUGGGUGUUGUGGGUGUUGGGCUGUCAUCAUCUUUUUCACCUCCAAUAACAUCAUUAACAUCAACGUCAAGCCCGAGAUUCGAUGUAUCAAUCGUCUUUCCUGCUGUCUCCACG
rnacentral:lncRNA from 1 species